GUCCCCGUUGGCGAGGGAUGCCGGCCUUUCGAGUCGGUGGUCGUGGGUUCAAUUCCCACCGGAAGCA
rnacentral:tRNA from 1 species